rnacentral:rRNA from 1 species
AUGGGCACCUCCGUCGACGUCGUCCCCGAUUGGGUGGGCGACUUGGGCAAGUCCGUCGGCCCCGUCGACUACGGCUGCGUGCGCCGGUGCCGUCACCGCCGCCUCGCCACCUACCUCUGGCUCCACGGCUUCCGCGACGCCCUGCGAGGGCUGCUCAACGAGACGGACGCGUACAUGAGCGUCAUCCACCUGUCGCGGCUGGUGCAGCAGGGCCUCUGGGACGACGCCAUCGCCUACGUCUCCCGCUUCCUGCGCCCGGUCACGCAUCCGCAGAGCGACGAGGCCCAGGUGCUCCUCCACUUCCUCAUGCACCACGCCGCCUUCGCCAGCAUGGUCGCCGGCGUGCCCGACCGCAACCUCAAGUAUUUCAACCACAAGUACAACACACGGUACCUCAAGCACGAUGACUCCGUCUCCUUCGACUGCCUCAGGAUCCGCUCCAUCGUCCUCUCCAUUCUCCAUUCGGAGCAAGUCAGAUCCUCGCUGGACUGGGAGCGCGUUCGUUGCAAGGCGUCUCAAAUAGUCCAACACUUGGCUUAUAAGGCUCCAGAGUUGAGAAACGUGGCCCUAUUGCCGGCCGGCCCGAUGAUGCCGCACGAUGUGCUUCCCAUCGGAUUCAGGUCCCGUCAGAGGCGUCACGUCAAGGAACAAGACCUGCCAGCACCUAAAACUCUGGCCAAGAUCUAUCUUAGGACCAAAAAGGGGCUGCGUUCGUUGACUCGCAGUCGCAAGUUAAAUAGUGGAUUGACAGACAAGACAAGGAAGUGGUUUGUAGAUCUUAUUGAUGAAAGUUUGCAAGCUGGUCUGGAAGUUCAAUCAAGUGGGAAGGAAGGUGUUCCUGGUCUUACAACCUCGUACACCAUGCCGAAUACCUCGACAGAUCUUACUAAAAACUCUGGGUCUGGGACCUCUUCAUUGACAAAUUCAGGUGCUCCAGGUUUGCAGACUAUGUCCACAUUGACAGUUCCUGCUAAAAUAUCCGGUGCUCCUGUUGCUGCAGUCUCACAGACUGUUAAUUUGACAAGCCAUGCUGAAAACUCUGGAUCUCGGCAGUGA